CCACCCCGCGUUCCCUUUUUUUUUUAGGCUAAAAUACAAAAAAAUCUUAUGUAAAUACUCUUUUUUUUUUACUUUUCUACAUUUCUGGUCGAUUUUAAAAAAUCUAUAUUUUACUCCUCUAAAAAUUUUAAGAUGAUGCACUUAUACCCCCUCUAUCAUGAUUUCAUCACUUUUACGUCAAUUUAUUAUAAUUUAUACCAAAAAUAUUUUUAAAAUGAUAAAAAUAUAUUAAGUAAUUAUUUUUUCUUACAGAAUAAAUAAGGGUAAUUUGGUCAUUUCGCCAUCUUUAUUAAUGCCGUAACCUUAUAAAAAUAUGGAAAAACUUCAAAAACCCCCCGUGGUUUCACACUUUUUCAUUUUAGUACUAUGUGGUUUAAAGUGUAUCAAGUUAGUACCCUGUGGUUUCGCACUUUCUCACUUUAGUAUCCUGUGGUUUAAAGUGUAUGAAGUUAGCACUCUAUGAUUUUAUUUUUGUAUCAAGUUAGUACCCUAUAGUUUUAUUUUUGUAUCAAGUUAGUACCCUGUGAUUUUAUUUUUCUCUUAAUGAAAUAUUAAACCAUAGGGUACUAAAGUGAGAAAGUGCGAAAUCACAUAAUACUAACUUGAUACACUUUAAAUCACAAGGUACUAAAGUGAGAAAGUGCGAAACUAUAGGGUACUAACUUGAUACACUUUAAACCACAAGGUACUAAAGUGAGAAACAGUUAAACCACAAGGGGGGUAUUUGAAGUUUUUCUAAAAAAUAUUUUUAAAAUUUUAAAGGGACAAAAUAUAGAUUUUUAAAAGAAAAAAAAAAAAAUAUAUUUAUAAGAGAUU
rnacentral:lncRNA from 1 species